UACGGGGGGGGCAAGCGUUGUUCGGAAUUACUGGGCGUAAAGGGCUUGUAGGUGGCCAACUAAGUCAGACGUGAAAUCCCUCGGCUUAACCGGGGAACUGCGUCUGAUACUGGAUGGCUUGAGAUUGGGAGAGGGAUGCGGAAUUCCAGGUGUAGUGGUGAAAUGCGUAGAUAUCUGGAGGAACACCGGUGGCGAAGGCGGCAUCCUGGACCAACACUGACACUGAGGAGCGAAAGCCAGGGGAGCAAACGGG
rnacentral:rRNA from 1 species